AAUUUUGCGCAAUGGGCGAAAGCCUGACGCAGCAACGCCGCGUGAAUGUUAAGCCCUUCGGGGUGUAAAGUUCUGUCAGUGGGGACGAAAUUUGACGGUACCCACAGAGGAAGCACCGGCUAACUCCGUGCCAGCAGCCGCGGUAAUACGGAGGGUGCAAGCGUUGUCCGGAAUCAUUGGGCGUAAAGAGUUCGUAGGUGGUAUGUUAAGUCUGGUGUUAAAGCCCGAAGCUCAACUUCGGUUCGGCACUGGAUACUGGCAAACUUGAAUGCGGUAGAGGUAAAGGGAAUUCCUGGUGUAGCGGUGAAAUGCGUAGAUAUCAGGAGGAACAUCGGUGGCGAAAGCGCUUUACCGGGCCGUAAUUGACGCUGAGGAACGAAAGCCGGGGUAGCAAAUGGG
rnacentral:rRNA from 1 species